rnacentral:misc_RNA from 1 species
GAUGAAGAACGUAGCGAAAUGCGAUACGUAAUGUGAAUUGCAGAAUUCAGUGAAUCAUCGAAUCUUUGAACGCAUAUUGCGCUCUUUGGUAUUCCGAAGAGCAUGCUUGUUUGAGUAUCAGUAAACACCUCAACCUCUUCUUGAUUUUUCAAAAGGAGGGUGGACUUGAGCUAUCCCAACAACCUUUACCGGUCGGCGGGCGGCUUGAAAUGCAGGUGCAGCUGGACUUUUAUCUGAGCUAAAAGCAUAUCUAUUUAGUCCUCGUCAAACAGGAUUAUUACUUUUGCUGCAGCUAACAUAAAGGAUAAUUGUCCUCUUUGCUGACUGAUGCAGGAUUUUACGACACUUUAUGUGUUGUUCAACUCGAUCUCAAAUCAAGUAAGACUACCCGCUGAACUUAAGCAUAUCAAUAAGCGAGGA